UGUUCACUGAGUGUGUUUUACACUGUUUCAGGGUUUCCGUCCUCAAGGUGUGGUGCUGAUGUCACACCGCAGGCAAAGGAAUGCCGCAGCGGUGACCUGAACGGAGGUGACCACCACCUGCACAGAGGGGCGGACAGUUCUGUCAGGGCGGGAGGCACGCCCCACCCGACAGGACACCAGAGCUUGCAACGCCCAGCGAGCGCACCAGGAGCAGCAGGCCUCUUGUGGACAGAGCAGAGCCGGGAAGGACCAUCGGGAAGCCGUCAGGGCCCCCUGGAAGCCCGGAAACCCGCAGCAGCGCUGAGCCAGCAAGGGCACUGCAGACGGCCGCGGCCCAUCUGCGCAGGGAGCAGCGCACACAUGCACAUGCCCGUGCCUGGUGGCCUCCUCUCGCAGGCCUGGAGGAGACAGACCUGUGUGACCAGGCUCCUCGGCGACACCCCAUGACGGGCGCCGUGAUAAAAUCCGGGCAGCUGCCGAUCCAGGUCAGCCACAGCCGUCCUCCCCUCCACAACGGCCCACAUGUCCUGAACCUGAAAAUCGGGGUCACCGAGGGCAUCUCCAGACAACAGACACAAGCUCACACUCUCCCCUUCCAGCUAGAGGGAGAUGUGGGACUGGACACUGGUCCUGAGGAUAGGCAUGCCACGGGGGCCACGAGAAGGGGUACCCCCCAGUCCCCAGCUCCCCCUACAUAGGCCGGAUGGGCCAGACGCACACGGACACGCCCACAUGUGCUGGGGCGAAGGAGACAGAGAUGCACCCCAAAAGGUCAGCAACUCCAGAGGUGGGAGCCCCUGUCCCCCUGCUCACUGCCACCUCCCCGCCUGCCCCCUGCACACCCAGCACUCUCCAGCAGCCUCCAGACGGGGAUGAGGGAGGGAGUCGCACUGGGGAGGCCAGGAUGUGCACCCAGGAGACACUCGGGGUGCCGUGCCCUGUGCAGACAUGCAGAAGGUACCCAUCUGGCCUGCACCAGCUGCACCCAGUCUCUGCCUGUGCCUCCAGAACGUCUGGGUGGAUCUGGUCAGGAAGCGGAUAUGGGAGCCAGUCCCUGCCGACAUCUGGCUGCCGGGCCAGCAGCUCACCAGAUGGCCUUGACUUUCUGCACAGAGGUUCUCAGCCCUCCUGCUGCCAGUGAGAGAGUGAGGUUGUCACACGUUCUCGACACUCGUGGCCACGGGAUCCGCACUUUCACACGAUGCUGUUUCUGACUCUGGUUGGUGGAGGUGCCACGCUGUGCUCUCGGCUGUGCCCCAACACAUUGCCAGCCUCGGACAUGCACACGCCCGGUGCCACCGGUGCCCGUUCCCGCUGCUGCUGCAGGAGCACCUGACACCCAGGGUCAGCAGCAACGCCACUCUCGCAUCGGAACCCUGGGGUCUGCUCACCUCGAGUCCUCAGAAGCUCCCCCCAGAAUACUAACUUUAUCCUUAACAUCUACGUAAGGUGAGGGUUCUCAGCAUGGCUCUAAAGAGGAAGGCUCGCUCCUAACACCACCAAGUGAGCGGCGCGACAAGGAAGCCAGUUCAGUAAAUGUCUGCAGAGUGUGAGGAAUGAAAUGGCCUCCAAAGGGCCGGGGAGGCAGCCGGGGCCUGAGGCUGGCCCCACGCUCCCAUCGGCCUGGCCGCAGCCGUUUUCCUGCUCACGGAGGACACCUGGUGGCAAAGUGAAAAAAAAAACGAGUCCAUGCUCUGUUCCCAAGACUCUCCCACCCUGCGGUCUGAAUGUGGGCCCUGGGGCUGGAGGGCGCAUCCGGCCCCUGCCCAGCCCAGGGUCAGCAGGAUGGCCCUCCCCAUCAGAAUCUGGGGAGCAGCCAGACAGGGGUCUGGGUCUGUGUGGAUGACUGACAUGGGGACCGAGGCUGGUCUGGCCCCUGGGAGUCGCUCUGCCCCGGGGGCCUCUGCCCCAGGAGUCCCCCCACGGCUGCCCUAGAUGGCCGGGCCUCUGUGCCCUGCCUGCUCCACACCCCAGCACGGCCCCUUGUCCCCAGGUGUCUCCAGCAUCAGCCAGGAGGACACUGACACCCGGGACCCGGCCUGCACCAGUACCCUCACUGGCGCUCCAGGCAAUGGCAGGUUGGGGCCAGCUCUGAAGGAGGAAGCCUGUGAAGUGUAUGGGGAAGGCAGACAUGGCCGCUCAUCCAGCAAGCUGCGAGCCAGGCCUGGGCCAGGGACCCAAGACGUCUGCACUGCAGCUGCAGGCAGGGAGGGUGGACAACAAGCAAAGUAACUAUGGAAACAGCAUGGGGCAGCAUGUGGUCCCCAGGACUCCUGGCCACGUAGCCCUGCACAGCAGAGGGGACUCAGCCGGUGGACAAAGGUUGCUGAGUGGGAACCUCCAAAGGGGUCAUUAUCCCAAAUCACAGGCCCAUGGAAGCGGGGGCCAUGGCAGCCUGAGGGGCCCCACCGCCUCUGCCUGGCCUGGAGAUGCAGGGCCACAGCCAGGCCGGUCGGUGGGAAGCUUCUGGAAGCUCUGCACGAUCCUGAGCAGAAAGCAGCAGCGAGCUCAGCCUUAGUGCUGCAGUCGGCAGCCUGAACGUGGGUGGGUUCUGACCCCAGCCCUGCAGCCCACGCCUGGCUUCCAGCCUGGGGGGCAUGAGGACCUGAGCAGAGUGCACCCCGUCCAACCCGCAGAGCUGAGAGAUCAGGCAGAGCCGCUGUUUGUGGCCGCUGCACUGGUGAUGUUUAGUUCCGCAACCACAGGAAGCAAAGCCCUACAGAGCGUGGAGUCACUGAUCUGCUGCUGCUGCUGCUGCAGUUUGGUUGUGGGUGCAGAGGAGAGGAGCCCAGCAGCGUCAGUCUGGUGCCAUCUUGCCAGUCUCCCAGAGCAGGAGUCCCGAACAAGAAGAAGUUAAUUACAGAACAGUAGUCAGGAUUGUCAUUUGCCAAGAAGUCUCAACUCCGUGAGGCCAAAAUGUAAAAUGCCUUGUUUUUCUUUCAUCAAACGCCUUCCAUAGUGUUCUCAUGUCCCACACUCUGUGCCUCCCCGCAUUUGGGGAAGGUCUCAUCAUGGGUCACCCACUUUCUGUUUAAAAGUCCAUAUGGUUUAUCACAGCCGUGUCAUUAGGAAAAGGUCUAAGACCUUGAAGGUUCGCUCCAGAUCCAAGAGUUGGCCCCCAGCUUGGGUAACUGGUGCUCUAAAAGUCAUCCUAUGUUCACAAAGCGUGUCCCACACAACACAGUAGCCCCUGGUCACGGUCUUUAGAAUUCUGCCAACACUAGAAUUCACUUAAAAUAGAACCACAGAGAAAAUCUCUAACAGCACCGUGAGGCUGCGUUUCUUCCUCCUCGAUAAUCUGCCUUUCAAAAGUGCGGCCUCCAAAAUAUAAAUAUAAACACGCUAUGCCCCCCAAAUGUAAGUAAACGAACAAGUAAAAAAGGCGUGCAAAUGAGUGAAUGUGUAAAUAAAACCGGUGUGUGCAGU